AGACCAUGUUGUGGGCAUCCCUCGGAAGAUCUUUUGUACCUUUCCCAAGCUACAUAUAAUGUUUCCCCAUCUUGUUGAGUGAAAGAGGCUAUGUCAUGUUAAAGUUU